CUGUUUUCUUGCUGUUCCCUGAAUUCACGAUUUAGAAAUAAUAGGCCAUUUAAGUGCUGGAAUUUGAAACAAGUCAUACCACUGCAUUAAAAAGUUAUAAUUGCUCGAUCAAGAUUAGUGUACUUUUCUUAAUAAUUUUUCUGUUGACAUCCUCGAAAGAAUAUCUCUAAUUAUUGAAGACCAAGAAUCAAAAUUAGUUCUGAAAUACAUUCAGGUAUUUUCAGCAUUCAAGCGUAUUAUUCGCGAAUUCCCAGUAUGUCUGCUAUUUAUUUUAAACCGCAUGUUUUAAAGCAGUGUUUCUUAAACUAUGUUUUUCGGAACCUCGGGGUUCCGUGAAAAAUCUCUCAAGGGUUUCACGAAACGAAACGCCCCCACGAAAUUUAAAAAUAGAAUUUUAACCAAAGAACUUUUAAAAGUAAAGGUGUGGCUCCGUCACGUCAAACAGAGGAGUCAAACAUUUUUGUGUGUCCCUGAACCUUUUUUUACAGGGGCAAUUUACCCACGCCGCUCCUGCGCAUGUAUGAUCUAACAUGAAAUCAACAAACCAACACGCCGGCGAAGAAGUUCUUUCGGCAGCCGUGUUGACAAUCUUUAACUGUGUUGUCUGAAGCAAUGUGUUACAAGAACUGCAAGAACUGACAGUGAAAGUGAUGCUGAAGAAAUUAAUGAUGUGCUACUGAGCUAAAAAGUGCUGAUUAAAAGAUUUACAUCCAGUUUUACGAACUUGAGACUACAAAUGAAAAACUGUUGAUAAAUAAUACGAAAAAAAGGUCAACAUUUAUUCAGGUUGCAGAAUAAAAUGUGGACUCUACCGAAUAGAAGAACCUCCAGCAAUAUUUGGUAUCAUUUUGUAAAAUUAGGUAAAAAACGGAAAAUGCCAGUAUUUUUAACAAGAGAAGGAGCCUACUAGUGCUGACAGCUGGGAAUCCUGUUCUUUGGGAUGUGCCUCCAAUCUAAACAUUUAUUUUUACACUGUGCUUUGUUGUAGCAACAAAAUAUCAAUUAUAGUAAUAAAAUAAUGUAAUCUUCAACAAAA
rnacentral:lncRNA from 1 species